UUUGGGCAGCCCCUUGCAGUCAACAUUUUAAGACAAGGAAAUAGCAUCCUCGCAUCAGUUGUUUCAUUUGUUGGACUUGUAGACCAUUUCUCCAUAUCUGGCAUAUCAGAUAUCUCAAGUUGAACUAAGGAGGGGAAUGUGCCGCCAUUUCCGUACAACUCAAUGCCAAUUCUCUUCACACCAGUAAGCUUAAUCAAGCUUAGUUCCUUAAGAGAUGGCAAUAAUCCAAGUGGUGGAAGGCAUUCACAUUUUUCAAAAUCUUCCAACUUGAUUUUCACCAGAUAAGGAAAAAAGGAGGACGAUGGUUCUGUGUGA
rnacentral:lncRNA from 1 species